UGGGGAAUAUUGCACAAUGGGCGCAAGCCUGAUGCAGCCAUGCCGCGUGUAUGAAGAAGGCCUUCGGGUUGUAAAGUACUUUCAGCGGGGAGGAAGGGAGUAAAGUUAAUACCUUUGCUCAUUGACGUUACCCGCAGAAGAAGCACCGGCUAACUCCGUGCCAGCAGCCGCGGUAAUACGGAGGGUGCAAGCGUUAAUCGGAAUUACUGGGCGUAAAGCGCACGCAGGCGGUUUGUUAAGUCAGAUGUGAAAUCCCCGGGCUCAACCUGGGAACUGCAUCUGAUACUGGCAAGCUUGAGUCUCGUAGAGGGGGGUAGAAUUCCAGGUGUAGCGGUGAAAUGCGUAGAGAUCUGGAGGAAUACCGGUGGCGAAGGCGGCCCCCUGGACGAAGACUGACGCUCAGGUGCGAAAGCGUGGGGAACAAACA
rnacentral:rRNA from 1 species